GACGAACGCUGGCGGCGUGCUUAACACAUGCAAGUCGAACGGAAAGGCCUGCUUUCCCUUGUGGAUUGCGGGUACUCGAGUGGCGAACGGGUGAGUAACACGUGAGUGAUCUGCCCCCAACUUGGGUAUAAGCCUGGGAAACUGGGUCUAAUUCCCGAUAGGACUGCAGGGUGGUGCCUGUGGUGGAAAACGAUUUUCUAGUGGUUGGGGAUGAGCUCGCGGCCUAUCAGCUUGUGGUGGGGUAAUGGCCUACCAAGGCGGCGACGGGUAGCCGGCCUGAGAGGGUGGACGGCCACAUUGGGACUGAGAUACGGCCCAGACUCCUACGGGAGGCAGCAGUGGGGAAUAUUGCACAAUGGGCGGAAGCCUGAUGCAGCGACGCCGCGUGGGGGAUGACGGCCUUCGGGUUGUAAACUCCUUUCGACCGCGAGGAAGCCACCUGGUUGGAAGGGUGGUGACGGUAGUGGUAGAAGAAGCACCGGCUAACUACGUG
rnacentral:rRNA from 1 species